CUCCGAGAACUGAAAGGCUUUUUGAAGUCUUCGGAUGGAUAGAAGAACCCCUGAUGCCGUCGAGCCAAGAAAAGUUUCUAAGUUUAGCUAAUGUUGCCCGUACCGUAAACCGACACAGGUGGGUGGGAUGAGUAUUCUAAGGCGCGUGGAAGAACUCUCUUUAAGGAACUCUGCAAAAUAGCACCGUAUCUUCGGUAUAAGGUGUGGUUAGCUUUGUAUUAGGAUUUACUCCGAAAGCAAGGAAACUUACAACAAAGAGUCCCUCCCGACUGUUUACCAAAAACACAGCACUCUGCUAACUCGUAAGAGGAUGUAUAGGGUGUGACGCCUGCCCGGUGCUCGAAGGUUAAUUGAUGGGGUUAGCAUUAGCGAAGCUCUUGAUCGAAGCCCGAGUAAACGGCGGCCGUAACUAUAACGGUCCUAAGGUAGCGAAAUUCCUUGUCGGUUAAAUACCGACCUGCAUGAAUGGCGUAACGAGAUGGGAGCUGUCUCAAAGAGGGAUCCAGUGAAAUUGUAGUGGAGGUGAAAAUUCCUCCUACCCGCGGCAAGACGGAAAGACCCCGUGGACCUUUACUACAGCUUGACACUGCUACUUGGAUAAGAAUGUGCAGGAUAGGUGGGAGGCUUUGAGUAUAUGACGCCAGUUGUAUAUGAGCCAUUGUUGAGAUACCACUCUUUCUUAUUUGGGUAGCUAACCAGCUUGAGUUAUCCUCAAGUGGGACAAUGUCUGGUGGGUAGUUUGACUGGGGCGGUCGCCUCCCAAAUAAUAACGGAGGCUUACAAAGGUUGGCUCAGAACGGUUGGAAAUCGUUCGUAGAGUAUAAAGGUAUAAGCCAGCUUAACUGCAAGACAUACAAGUCAAGCAGAGACGAAAGUCGGUCUUAGUGAUCCGGUGGUUCUGUGUGGAAGGGCCAUCGCUCAAAGGAUAAAAGGUACCCCGGGGAUAACAGGCUGAUCUCCCCCAAGAGCUCACAUCGACGGGGAGGUUUGGCACCUCGAUGUCGGCUCAUCGCAUCCUGGGGCUGGAGCAGGUCCCAAGGGUAUGGCUGUUCGCCAUUUAAAGCGGUACGCGAGCUGGGUUCAGAACGUCGUGAGACAGUUCGGUCCCUAUCUGCCGUGGGCGUAAGAAGAUUGAAGAGAUUUGACCCUAGUACGAGAGGACCGGGUUGAACAAACCACUGGUGUAGCUGUUGUUCUGCCAAGAGCAUCGCAGCGUAGCUAAGUUUGGAAAGGAUAAACGCUGAAAGCAUCUAAGCGUGAAGCCAACUCUAAGAUGAAUCUUCUCUAAGCUCUCUAGAAGACUACUAGUUUGAUAGGCUGGGUGUGUAAUGGAUGAAAGUCCUUUAGCUGACCAGUACUAAUAGAGCGUUUGGCUUAUCUUU
rnacentral:rRNA from 1 species